CCGGCUGUUCUACGGAUCCCGUUGAGUUCCUCGCAAUUCCGCUUAGAUGUGCUUGCUGUAUUUGGUUCUGUUCUCUGUUCUUCUUUUGGAUCUCUAGCGUUGCAGAUCACCGGGAGAUGAUCUUCCGCUUGCAAAGCAGAUAGCUGGCAAGACCAUGGAGGUCUCUGGCGCUCUUCGUCGUCUCGGUUUGGUCUGUUUUCUCGGCUUAUUCUCCGCCCUUGAACUUUCUUGCGUAGUCCGCAGAUGCCUCUUGUGUGAUAUGCUGCUUUUUCAUGACGUCCAUCGUGGUUUCUUGCUGAUUCGUCUAUAUAUCGGUACGUUCUUCCCUUCUUCUAAUCUUUCCCUGUGGGAUAUCAUAGUUUCAACUCCAAGCUGCGUGAGGCGGUAACGAGGAUGUGUAUGUUCGAUACCGGUCGACUUUGUUCUCUGGCGAAGUAGGUUCGCUGCCAAAGGCCUAUAUCCUAUUUCUUGCUUUCUUCCAUGGAAGAUCGGAUGUGGUGCUGAUCUUAUCCAAGGACGCGUCCGAGAAGCAAAUAGUGUUCGAUGACCAUUAGAUUAAGUGCAACGAAACUAGACUGGGGAUCUUGAUGGAUGGGGGAAGGUAAUUUGGACCUAUACAUGUUCUAUAGACCUUUGCCAUGUUGGGUGCGCUCGCAUGGCAGGUCGCUCAUCGUUAAUAAAAUUUUCCUUUUCUUGUGUGGGAGGAGAGAUCGCACGGGGGUAAUUAUUUUCAGCCCCGGGUUCUCUCCUCGUGUGCUGUGUCUUUACUCUCUGCCAUUUCCAUCUAUCUACCAAUCACACUCCUGUAGUUUCCAUCGCCGUUUAAUCCUCAUGACCACCUGGGAUGCAAGCUUCGUGGCCAUUUCUCCAAAUCAGUGAGGUAUAGAUAGUCUUCCCCUUUGUUCUUCGCAAAUCAGAUUAAAUGUCAAAUUCUUUACUACUAAUUUCGUGCACCUAUAACUGCCACAAAUUCUGAUUAUCGGAUAUCAUUUCAAUUUAUUAUAUGCCAAUUUUUCAUUGGAAUCAAUUUUGCAAUUUAUUUGUGCUAUCUUAUAGUUGUCAAUAGGGAAAUGCCUGUAAAUAUGUUGAUAUAGUAUAUGCAUCUAUAUAUGCAAGCUUCAUUUAAUUUAACUGCCUAUUAUUUCUGCCACAAUUAUUUACUCAUUUGUUUCUCCUUCAGGGCAACCACAAAGAACAAAAAAACAUUGAUGCUUACUAAGGUUGCAUGGUAUUAUUAUUUUCACAAAAUUUACAUGUUACGGCGGUGACCAUUGUGAGGUUUUCAAUCUUGUGAUGUGUGGAAUUUGGUCGUUAAAUUUUCAGUGUUAUGUUGUUGUUAACUAUCGUGAUAUUUCUCUUAUGCUGUCAAAGUGAAUAAUUGAAUCAACUAUGUCCGUGAUUUGGACAUACACUAUGUACGUGCUCAGCCUGCUCUUAAAAUCUGAGUGAACGAUGGUAUCACGGCAUCGUCUUGAAAUUUCUUCCUUGGGACUUUUUGACUUGGUUACAACUACUCUUAAGUCUGUCUGUUUGUCUUCUUUUUUAUGGUUCUAUUUAUUCGGUGAGGCUGUCAUGUGAUUGGUUCAAAAAUAUGCCAAAGCCUCUUUAAAACUAGUUGCUGCAGAAUUAGUAGCGGUAUAAAUUCCGUGACGCACCCAUGCCGUACUCCUGAUCUUUUGCUGUUGAUGUGGAUGCUGGGAAGCCUGUUGCUAUGCGGUUUGCCGAGGCAGCAGCUCACUGCUCCCUGUGCGCUGCCGUGACGGCGGAGUGCGAGGUCGGAAUCUGUCUCCCUAAGCUUUAGUUGACAAGGUAAUGAAUGGUGUUUGUACUUUCAUAAUAUAGCUCCACUAGUUUCAACUAGUAUCAUUAUUAUUAGAAAUUCGUCCUCUCAUUUUGUGAAAGACUUUUUUGCAACUGAAAUUUCUUUCUUUUUUUUUAAGAUUCUUUAGAGUAUCUGUUCGUUAUUUGACCAGAUAAGGCUGAAUUGAAUACAGAUAUUGUUAAUUGUAGAGUAAAUAUUCUUUGAUUUAAAAAUUAGGAUGUUCAAUUCCAUUUCGAAUUUUGUAUAAUUUGUCAUGUGGUGGCAGCUGAAGCUGCUGCGGGGGUGUGCGAACCAGGAAGCAACCAAAAGACUUAUGGCGUGAAAUAUCAUCCACGUUUGAGUGACACGUCAAAGUCUGGAGGAGCUUCGGAGUAGUUCCCUUUGUUGAGCGAAACACAAGUUGCAAUGUGAAACCACUGUACAAUACUCCAAAAACACCACCAGCAACUGACAAAAUUACACGAGAAAAGAAUCACAGCCCA